ensembl:lncRNA
CCUUGCUAGAGGAGUUGGAGCACAGGUUAGCUCUUGCUUAAUGCACACCAAAUGUUUGCAGAUUCAUCAAGUUUUACUGCUUUGGGGGCACAAAGGGAAUUUAUGAGUUUUAAUACUGAGGAAACUUCAUCUAUCUCACUCACUUCUGACUUCCAACUAACCGCUGUUAGACCUGGAUACCAUGGAGAAAUAAAAUGUGCAUUGUGUGAAGCUUUGGCAGCCUAAUGCCUGAAAGGAAGAAAUGGUAGAAUUUGUGUUUUGACAUGUGUAGCAUAAUAUACUGUUUGUUAAAGAAGAGAUUUUGUGAAACUUCAUUUUAUUGGGGAUUAUUUAUUAAAAAGAAGUUUCUGAUUAGGGAAAAAGAAAAAGAAAAACACAAACCUCUCUCCUCACCUCCCCGCCCCACCACCCUUCCAUGAUCCAGUAACCCUCUGGGAAGGCUGGGAGGGAUGCUACAGAGCAUGUGCUGCACACAUAACGUAGAUAGACCAAACCAGCGAUUGACAGUCACUCCGGCUGUGAGUGGAGCGGGACUUGGGGUUGGAGGGAACGUGUGGGAGAACUGAAAAGCCCGGCUUGGAACCGCCUUCUGUUCUGGGAAUGCACACAUGUAGCCUUCAGUCAUUUCACUCGUGCUCUACUCUUCCUGACUCCAUUUGGGGCUUCCUCGGCAAAGAUACUGAAGUGGUUUAUCAUUUCCUUCUCCAAGUCAUUUUACAAAUAAGGAACGGAAGCAAACAGGGUUAAGUGAGUUGCCCAGGGUCACACAGCUAAUAAGUGACAGAGGCCGGAUUUGAACUCUGGAAGAUAGCUUCAUGCCUCCAGGCCUGAGGCUCUGUCCACUGCGGCGCCACCUAGCUGGCCCAGUACACUACAUUUCCCAGCAGGUUUCGCGUGGACAGUCAGAAGUUGCCAUGGAAACACGGCCAAAGGAAAGCCUCGGAGUGGGUGGAUCUCGUGACGUCACUUCCUUUGCUGAAGCUGCCGCGGCAGCUCCGAGUGCCUUCCCUGGGCUCCUCUCCUUCUCGUCGCCACCUGCCUGGGCUGCGCGUCCCGGAUCCGUGUUCUGCCUUCUGAAGGGUCUGCCCUUCUUCACCAGGAGGAGGUAGCUUUGUCUCCUUUGCAGAGGAGAUAAUGGCCCCCGGGCUUCUGGCAGCCGAGACCCAAAAGGUGAGUAGAUGUUUGCUUUUUCCUCAAAUAUUCUCCUGGCAUUUCCCAUGUUUUCUUCUUGUUGUUCUCUUUUAAAUGAUUUUUAAUCUAUCUUUAUCAUAUAGUCCUUUCACUCUUUCAUUAUUUAGCCUUCAUUUAGGGCAGUAUGUUUCCUUAAUUUUUCCUUUAUUGAGCUAUGGUCUGUACAGCAUAUGUUUAAGAUUUCUGCCUUUCCACAUGGUUUAUAAGUUUGUGUCCAAAUAUGUAGAGGUUAUUUGUAUAAUUUGCCUGGGAAUCUAAAAGGCACUUAGAAUUGUUGGGAUAUCCAUUUAGAAGUCAUCAUUGGUCUCUCAAAUCCUGUUUGCUAACAUACAUUUAAUUCAUCUAUAAUGAUGAAUUCCUCUUUUUUAUCUGUUGUUGUAUAUGAUGCCUAUGAUUAUGAGGUAACUUCCCUCCUUCUCUCUUAAUGAUAUCUGUUUUCUAGAAUUAAUAAUUGCACUUUCUCUUUUUUUCUAUUUAGCUGACACAAAUUUUAUUUUAUUCCAGCCCUCUACAUUCAGCCUACAUACAUCCCUUCUCAUUAGAUGUUUUCAUGUAAGAAGAAAAUUUAGAUUUUUGUUUUUUAGUGC